GAGAUGCUAGUAAAACAGAUAAUACAUUGCCUUGUCAAGGCAAAAAUGCAAGUUAAACCCCUGCGCAUCUUA
rnacentral:tRNA from 1 species